rnacentral:rRNA from 1 species
AGAGUAAAAUAGUACGUGAAAUUGUUGAAAGGGAAACGAUUGAAGUCAGUCGUACCGACGAGAAAUCAACCUUUCGAGUGCGAACUUGUGGGCGUGCGUGAGUCUUUAACGGGCCUCGCUGUUUGCAAUGUUUGUCCUUUUGGGGUGUACUUUUUCGUAUGGUAGGCCAACGUCAGUUUCGAUCACCGUAAAAUGAUCGGAGGAAUGUAGCUUCGAUCUCGUAUUGAAGUGUUAUAGUCUCUGGUAGAUGCGGUGACCGAAACUGAGGAUUGCAACGAAUACCCUCUGGGCUAUCCGUCUGACCUCUGAAAGUUGCUUAGGUGCCGAAAGCGUGCUUACGGCUAUUUAAGUUGACGGUCAACAGGUUAGAACGUGAUUACAUUCGUUAAGGAUGUUGACGUAAUGACUUUAAACGACC